AGUGAACGCUGGCGGUAGGCCUAACACAUGCAAGUCGAACGGCAGCACAGUAAGAGCUUGCUCUUACGGGUGGCGAGUGGCGGACGGGUGAGGAAUACAUCGGAAUCUACUUUUUCGUGGGGGAUAACGUAGGGAAACUUACGCUAAUACCGCAUACGACCUACGGGUGAAAGCAGGGGAUCUUCGGACCUUGCGCGAUUGAAUGAGCCGAUGUCGGAUUAGCUAGUUGGCGGGGUAAAGGCCCACCAAGGCGACGAUCCGUAGCUGGCCUGAGAGGAUGAUCGGCCACACUGGAACUGAGACACGGUCCAGACUCCUACGGGAGGCAGCAGUAGGGAAUCUUCCGCAAUGGGCGAAAGCCUGACGGAGCCACACCGCGUGAGUGAUGAAGGUCUUCGGAUCGUAAAGCUCUGUUAUUAGGGAAGAAAAAAUGUGUAAGUAACUAUGCACGUCUUGACGGUACCUAAUCAGACAGCCACGGCUAACUACGUG
rnacentral:rRNA from 1 species